UCAGGUCCCAAGGGUUAGGCUGUUCGCCUAUUAAAGGGGUACGUGAGCUGGGUUCAGACCGUCGACGGAGGCGGCCCAGGCGGGUAACCGCCUGUGGAAAAACCGGCUCAUAACGGGGAAGCCCUCCGGGUCCACCGACCGGAUGCCGAGGGUGACCCCGUGGGAAGGUGAAGGCAGUGGACGAGACCACGAAGGCCUACGUAGCGGGGUUCCUGGACGGCGACGGAGGUGUAAUGCUGCAACUGCAGAGUCCGCGACCGUCGCCACAGGAGUUCUUGGAGUGGGCCGAGCGGGUGGAGUCCUACCAGCGCCUAAACUACUCGAAGCGCCCGCGGUACGGGACAGAAGACGUACGGCGGGAGCUGGUAGCACGGCGCGCCUUCACCCCCGUAACGACUGAGGCCGUGGAGGCCGAGGCUCGGGCGGCGACCAGACAGGAACCCAUCGCCCGGGCAACACGCCGGCACCCCCGAAAGGGGGUGGUGGGAUAGUCUACCCCCCGAGGAAACUCGGGGAGACGGUGCGUGAGACAGGUCGGUCCCUAUCCACUGCGGGCGUCGGUGGCUUGAGGGGGGCUGCUCCUAGUACGAGAGGACCGGAGUGGACGCACCUCUGGUGUACCGGUUGUCGCGCCAGCGGCACGCGCCGGGUAGCCAUGUGCGGUCGUGAUAAGCGCUGAAAGCAUCUAAGCGCGAAGCACGCCCCAAGAUGAGGCCACCCACCGGGUCAACCGGGUAAGGCCCCAGGUAGACGACCUGGUAGAUAGGCCGGAGGUGGAAGCGCGGCAACGCGUGAAGCCGACCGGUACUAAUCGGCCGAGGGCUUGAAGGG
rnacentral:rRNA from 1 species